rnacentral:rRNA from 1 species
GACGAGCCGUACGAACGUUAUUCGGAAUUACUGGGCUUAAAGGGUGCGUAGGCGGCGCAGUAAGUUGGGUGUGAAAUCCCUCGGCUUAACCGAGGAAUUGCGCCCAAAACUACUGUGCUCGAGGGAGAUAGAGGUGAGCGGAACUUAGGGUGGAGCGGUGAAAUGCGUUGAUAUCCUAAGGAACACCGGUGGCGAAAGCGGCUCACUGGAUCUCUUCUGACGCUGAGGCACGAAAGCUAGGGUAGCAAACGGG